AAAGUCUAAACGACUCUCGGCAACGGAUAUCUCGGCUCUCGCAUCGAUGAAGAACGUAGCGAAAUGCGAUACUUGGUGUGAAUUGCAGAAUCCCGUGAACCAUCGAGUCUUUGAACGCAAGUUGCGCCUGAAACCAUUUGGUUGAGGGCACGUCUGCCUGGGCGUC
rnacentral:rRNA from 1 species